rnacentral:rRNA from 1 species
CCUACGGGAGGCAGCAGUGGGGAAUAUUGGACAAUGGGGGGAACCCUGAUCCAGCCAUGCCGCGUGUGUGAAGAAGGCCCUCGGGUUGUAAAGCACUUUCAGUGAGGAAGAACGCCUGGUGGUUAAUACCCAUCAGGAAAGACAUCACUCACAGAAGAAGCACCGGCUAACUCCGUGCCAGCAGCCGCGGUAAUACGGAGGGUGCGAGCGUUAAUCGGAAUUACUGGGCGUAAAGCGCGCGUAGGUGGCUUGAUAAGCCGGUUGUGAAAGCCCCGGGCUCAACCUGGGAACGGCAUCCGGAACUGUCAAGCUAGAGUGCAGGAGAGGAAGGUAGAAUUCCCGGUGUAGCGGUGAAAUGCGUAGAGAUCGGGAGGAAUACCAGUGGCGAAGGCGGCCUUCUGGCCUGACACUGACACUGAGGUGCGAAAGCGUGGGUAGCAAACAGGAUUAGAUACCCGUGUAGUC